rnacentral:tRNA from 1 species
CGAGAGUAAAAGUAUGUCCAUGGCCCGCUAAGUCGUUGGACCUACAGUUUAACUCUGUAGUACUCUCGA